AUUGAACGCUAGCGGCGUGCCUAAUACAUGCAAGUCGAACGCAGUGGGGACGGGGGAGUAACACGUGGGUAACCUCCCAUCAGAGGGGAUAACACUUGGAAACAGGUGCUAAACCGCUACUGAUGGAUGGACCCGCGGUGCAUUAGCUAGUUGGUGAGGUAACGGCUCACCAAGGCCACGAUGCAUAGCAGACCUGGGAGGGUGAUCGGCCACACUGUGACGGCAACACGGCCCAGACUCCGACGUGAGGCAGGAGGAGGGAAUCUUCGGCAAUGGACGAAAGGCUGACAGAGCAACGCCGAGUGAGUGAAGAAGGUUUUCGGAUCGUAAAACUCUGUUGUUAGAGAAGCGGUAUCUAACCAGAAAGCCACGGCUAACUACGUGCCAGCAGCCGCGUAAUAC
rnacentral:rRNA from 1 species